CCAAUAGCGUAUAUUAAAGUUGUUGCAGUUAAAAAGCUCGUAGUUGAAUUUCGGGGUUCUACCGUUGGUCGGGCUUUGUCUGUACUGGCGUGUAGAAUUUCUACCUUCUGGGGAACCAUCAUGUUAUUAAUUUAGCGUGGUGGGAAACCAGGACCUUUACCUUGAAAAAAUUAGAGUGUUCAAAGCAGGCUUAUGUCUGAAUACAUUAGCAUGGAAUAAUAGAAUAGGACGGUGGUCCUGUUUUGUUGGUUUCUGAAUCACCGUAAUGAUUAAUAGGGAUAGUUGGGGGCAUUAGUAUUAAAUUUUCAGAGGUGAAAUUCUUGGAUUUAUUGAAGACUAACUUCUGCGAAAGCAUUUGCCAAGGAUGUUUUCAUUAAUCAAGAACGAAAGUUAGGGGAUCGAAGACGAUCAGAUACCGUCGUAGUCUUAACCAUAAACUAUGCCGACUAGGGAUCGGACGAUGUUAACUUUUCUUGACUCGUUCGGCGCCUUACG
rnacentral:rRNA from 1 species